rnacentral:rRNA from 1 species
CCCUUAGAUGUUCUGGGCCGCACGCGCGCUACACUGGUGCGUUCAACAAGUUUACAACCUUGAUUGACAAGUCUGGGUAAUCUUUUGAAUGCGCACCGUGCUAGGGAUAGAUUAUUGCAAUUAUUAAUCUUGAACGAGGAAUUCCUAGUAAACGCAAGUCAUCAGCUUGCAUUGAUUACGUCCCUGCCCUUUGUACACACCGCCCGUCGCACCUACUGAUUGAAUGACUCGGUGAAGAAUUGGGACUGUGAGAACAAUUGAUUCAUUUCAAAUGUACUCGUGGGAACUUUUUUUAACCUCGCCAUUUAGAAGAAGGUGAAGUCGUAACA